CCUACGGGGGCUGCAGUGGGGAAUAUUGGACAAUGGGCGAAAGCCUGAUCCAGCCAUGCCGCGUGUGUGAAGAAGGCCUUCGGGUUGUAAAGCACUUUCAGUGGGGAAGAAAGCCUUGGGGCUAAUACCCUCGAGGAAGGACAUCACCCACAGAAGAAGCACCGGCUAACUCCGUGCCAGCAGCCGCGGUAAUACGGAGGGUGCGAGCGUUAAUCGGAAUUACUGGGCGUAAAGCGCGCGUAGGCGGUCUGAUAAGCCGGUUGUGAAAGCCCCGGGCUCAACCUGGGAACGGCAUCCGGAACUGUCAGGCUAGAGUGCAGGAGAGGAAGGUAGAAUUCCCGGUGUAGCGGUGAAAUGCGUAGAGAUCGGGAGGAAUACCAGUGGCGAAGGCGGCCUUCUGGACUGACACUGACGCUGAGGUGCGAAAGCGUGGGUAGCAAACAGGACUAGAUACCCUAGUAGUC
rnacentral:rRNA from 1 species